ensembl:snRNA U6 U6 spliceosomal RNA
CUGCUUGCUUUGGCAGCACAUAUACUAGAAACGAUACAGAGAAGAUUAGCAUGGCCCUUGCACAAGGAUGACAGGCAAAAAAUAAAAAUGAAUGAAUGGGUU